rnacentral:rRNA from 1 species
UACGUAGGGCGCAAGCGUUGUCCGGAAUUAUUGGGCGUAAAGAGCUCGUAGGCGGUUUGUCGCGUCUGCUGUGAAAACUCGAGGCUCAACCUCGGGCUUGCAGUGGGUACGGGCAGACUAGAGUGCGGUAGGGGUGACUGGAAUUCCUGGUGUAGCGGUGGAAUGCGCAGAUAUCAGGAGGAACACCGAUGGCGAAGGCAGGUCACUGGGCCGCAACUGACGCUGGAGGAGCGAAAGCAUGGGGAGCGAACAGG